GUAGAGAUUAGAGAGAGAUUAGAGAGAGAGAGAGAAAAGAUUAGAGAGAGAGAGAGAAAAGAUUAGAGAGAGAGGAGCAUUAAUUAGCAAAUAUUGCAUAAGAUAUGCAAGAUCAAACUCAAUCUUGCAAAAGCCAAAUCCCUCUCUCCCUCACUAAAUUUUCGGCCAUCACCCCUCUCUCCCUCACUACAAUUUUCGCCCAACACACAUACAUACACUCAUCUUCUUCACCUCACACUUCCACCAUUUUCCUCCAUUAGAGCAAACCUUCGAAGCUUCCAACAAAAUUACCAAACACCUCACAUCACUCUAAAACUUUCCAUAAACACUAUCUAUCCUAAAUUGAUCAAGAAAAUCCUUGAAGAAGAAGCUCCAAAGUAGAGUGAGAAAGUGAGAAAUUUUGGUAAGAACUUGGGCCCGAGCGAGACGAAGAAGUAAGUUGCCUGAUUUCUUUCCAGAAUAAGCGAAGGACUUCAGGCUAAGCUGGGAGUGAGAUUGGACUGGUGCUGAUGGGGGAGAGUUUCAAAUGAUGUAAAUUAAAUUACUAUUUUGCCUCUAUGAUAAUAGAGUCUUGAUGUUUGAAUUACUUAGUUUCUUUUGAGAUCAAGCAAUACACUCACGGUUAUGUGUCUUCAUACAUAUAAUCGGUUCGCCUUUUGCUGCGAUACUCUGCAAAUUAUGCUUCCUUAUGAAAAAUGAACUAUACGCGUUUUGUUUU